UACGUAGGGUGCAAGCGUUGUCCGGAAUUAUUGGGCGUAAAGAGCUCGUAGGCGGUUUGUCGCGUCUGCUGUGAAAUCCCGAGGCUCAACCUCGGGUCUGCAGUGGGUACGGGCAGACUAGAGUGCGGUAGGGGAGAUUGGAAUUCCUGGUGUAGCGGUGGAAUGCGCAGAUAUCAGGAGGAACACCGAUGGCGAAGGCAGGUCUCUGGGCCACUACUGACGCUGAGAAGCGAAAGCAUGGGGAGCGAACAGG
rnacentral:rRNA from 1 species